rnacentral:rRNA from 1 species
UACGAAGGUGGCAAGCGUUGUUCGGAUUUACUGGGCGUACAGGGAGCGUAGACGGUUAUUUAAGUCGGGUGUGAAAGCCCCGGGCUCAACCUGGGAAUUGCAUUCGAGACUGAAUAGCUAGGGUACGGUAGAGGGAAGUGGAAUUUCCGGUGUAGCGGUGAAAUGCGUAGAUAUUCGGAGGAACACCAGUGGCGAAGGCGGCUCACUGGCUCGGUACUGACGCUGAGGUGCGAAAGCGUGGGGAGCAAACAGG